rnacentral:lncRNA from 1 species
AAGAAGUGAAAUUUUGGGUUACGAGUAUUUUUGAAAGAAAAAUCGAAAAACGAAUGUCAAAAUGUAAUUUAAAAAACUUUUGCCACGUAGGAUGCUCAGUUAGCAACAUCGACGAAUCAGAAUGCGUUGCGUGGCAACGGACGCUGAUACGGUGCCAUGUGGGAGGCCACAUGUGCGAUCCGCGUGCCCGCGAUCGAACGACCCAAAUC